AGAGUUUGAUCCUGGCUCAGGAUGAACGCUAGCGGCAGGCCUAAUACAUGCAAGUCGAACGAUAGUUGAGAGCUUGCUCUUGACGAAAGUGGCGCACGGGUGCGUAACGCGUAUGCAACCUACCUUAAUCAGGGGGAUAGCCCGAAGAAAUUCGGAUUAACACCGCAUAAAAGCACAGGAUAGCAUUAUCCAAUGUUCAAAUAUUUAUAGGAUUAAGAUGGGCAUGCGUGUCAUUAGCUAGUUGGCGGGGUAACGGCCCACCAAGGCGACGAUGACUAGGGGAUCUGAGAGGAUGACCCCCCACACUGGUACUGAGACACGGACCAGACUCCUACGGGAGGCAGCAGUAAGGAAUAUUGGUCAAUGGAGGCAACUCUGAACCAGCCAUGCCGCGUGCAGGAAGACAGCCCUCUGGGUCGUAGACUGCUUUUAUUCGGGAAUAAACCUCAUUACGUGUAAUGAGCUGAAUGUACCGAAGGAAUAAGGAUCGGCUAACUCCGUGCCAGCAGCCGCGGUAAUACGGAGGAUCCAAGCGUUAUCCGGAUUUAUUGGGUUUAAAGGGUGCGUAGGCGGCUUAUUAAGUCAGGGGUGAAAGACGGUGGCUCAACCAUCGCAGUGCCCUUGAUACUGAUGAGCUUGAAUGAACUAGAGGUAGGCGGAAUGUGACAAGUAGCGGUGAAAUGCAUAGAUAUGUCACAGAACACCGAUUGCGAAGGCAGCUUACUAUGGUUUUAUUGACGCUGAGGCACGAAAGCGUGGGGAUCAAAC
rnacentral:rRNA from 1 species